ACCCGUUUCUUGACGGGACUGAGGGCGGGGCUGUGGCUGGGUACCGGAUCUGGAGGGCGGUGCUAGAGUCUCAGCCUGAAGGUGGGCAGAGACUAGGCCCAGGGGCGGGGAUAAGGCGGGGGUGGGUCUUGGGUAGGCGGGCAGGAGAGUGGGAGAAAAUCAGCUCCAGGGACGUGGAUGAAGACGGGGCUUUCUGUGGACUCUCCAGGCUGCACAGGCAUUCCUGGAGGUGUCUAUAGAAGGUGAGGGUUCCAGGGAAGAAGAGAGGUGCAUCUACCUCUAGAAGAACGUCUGUAGUUAUGUUCACCACUGUUCCAGAAGAAUUAAUGGAAUGGGAUAACAGCCAGAAAAGAGGACAUGAAAUGGUUUGUUCGGAAAAAGCUGUCCUGAAUGACAAGGUGAAAUGUCAACAGAUAAUGACCUGAAAGACACAAUUCAUGAAAGAAAGAAUUGACAAGUUGGACUUCAUUAAAAUUAAAAACUUUUGCUCUGAGAAAAAACUGCCAAGAGAAUAAAAAGCCACAGACUGGAAGAAAUUAUCUGCAAAAGACAUAUCUGAUAAAGAAGUGUUAUCCAAAAUAUACACAGAAUUCUUAAAACUCAAAAAUAAAGAAAACAAACAACCCGAUUUAAAAAAUGGGCCAAAAACCUUAACAGACACCUCAUCAAGGAAGAUACACAGAUGGCAAAUAAGCAUAUGAAAAGAUGUUCCACAUCAUAUGUCAUCAGGAAGAUGCAAAUCAAAACAAUGAGAUACCACUAUACACCUAUAAGAAUGGCCAAAAUCCGGAACACUGACAACAAAGAAUUUUGAGAAUGUGGAGCUGGUGGGAAUGCAAAAUGGUACAGUCACUUUGGAAUACAAUUUGGCAGUUUCUUACAAAACCAAACAUACUCUUAACCAUACAGACAGGCAAUUGCACUCCCUGGAAUUUACCCAAAGAAGUUAACAACAUGUCUACACAAAAACCUGCAUGUGGAUGUUUACAGCAGCUUUAUUCAUAAUUGCCAAAACUUGGAAGCAAUCAAAAUGUUCUUCAGUGGGUGAAUGGAUAAACAGGCUGUGGUACAUCCAGACAAUAAAAUAUUAAUCAGCACUAAAAAGAAAUGAGCUAUCCAGCCAUGAAAAGAGGUGGAAAAACCUUAAAUGCAUAUUACUAAGUGAAAGAAGCCAGUCUGAAGAGGUUAUAUAUAUAUAUACUGUGUGAUUCCAACUACAUGACAUUCUGGAAAAGGCAAAACUAUGGAGACAGUAAAAAGAUCAGUUGUUGCCAGGAGUUGUGGGAAAGGAGAGAUAAAUUGGGGUGAAGGGGAUACAGAAUUUUUAAGGGUAGUGAAGCUACUUUAUGAUAUAUAAUGGUGGAUAUGUCAUUAUAUAUUUGUCCAAACCUUAAAAUGUACAACACCAAAAGUGAACACUAAUAUAAACUCUGGACUUAAGGUGAUAAUGAUGUGUCAGUGUAGGUUCAUCAACUGUUACAAAUAUACCACUCUGGUAGGAAGGCUGUGAGUGUAUGGGGACAGGGGGUAUAUGGGGAAUAUCUAUCUGUACCUGUUACUCAAUUUUGCUGUGAACCUAUAAACUGCUCUAAGAAAAAUAAAGUGUACUGAGAAAAAAAAUCCCUGUCCUCCCAGAAUUUCAGAAUGUUACUUUAUUUGGAAAUAGGGCCUUUGCAGAUAUAAUCAAGUUAAGGUAAGUUAUACUGGAUUAGGGUAGGCCCUAAAUGCAAUGACUGGUGUCCUUACAAGGACAGAAAGACUUAGAGACAGAGGACGAAGGCCAUGUGAAGAUGGAGGCAGAGAUCAGAGUGAUGCAGCUGCAAGCCAAGGAUUGCUGGCAACCAUCAACAGCUAGGAAGGGGACAAGGAGAGAUUUUUCCUGAGCCUUCGGAAGCAUCAUGACACCCUGAUUUCAGACUUCCAACCUCCAGAAAUUUAAAAGAAUAAGAUUCUGUUGUUCUUGGCCACCCAGUUUGUGGUGCUUUGUUAUGGAAGGCCUAGGAAACCAAUACAGCCUGCUUCCACAGACCUACCCCCAAGUCAUUCAACCUAAGUACACAAAUCCUAUAAUAUUUACUUUCUAACAUCUUCUUUCUGAGACAUGCCAUGGCUCCCCAUGGCAUGUGU